rnacentral:rRNA from 1 species
UACGUAGGGUGCAAGCGUUAAUCGGAAUUACUGGGCGUAAAGCGUGCGCAGGCGGUUUUGUAAGUCUGACGUGAAAUCCCCGGGCUCAACCUGGGAAUUGCGUUGGAGACUGCAAGGCUAGAGUGUGUCAGAGGGGGGUAGAAUUCCACGUGUAGCAGUGAAAUGCGUAGAGAUGUGGAGGAACACCGAUGGCGAAGGCAGCCCCCUGGGUCAAGAUUGACGCUCAUGCACGAAAGCGUGGGGAGCAAACAGG